ensembl:lncRNA
GCCGAAAGGAAGGAUGUGUGCUGGGACCCAGGCUGCCUUCAUGAAGAACCAGCUGGGAGAUGCCGAAAGGAAGGAUGUGUGCUGGGACCCAGGCUGCCUUCACGAAGAAUCAGCUGCAGGUGCUCCAUGCCUUUUGCCUCUUGAUCCACACAUGGUGUGGCCACAUUCCACUGAGAUCCUACAGGGUCCUGGAGAUUCCCGGGGCUGAAGCAGACCCCUCUCAGCGUGGGUGCCCCAGAAGGACCUGAUGGAGACCUGCUGUCUGAUGGAGCGUGGAUGAAAAGAAAAGCCCCAUGGAGGUGAGAAAGAACAAGGUCUCCCAACACUAUGAUUAAACAGGUAACUGAUGAGAACCGGCUGCACAGCACGGGGAGCUCUGGUCAGCGCUCUGUGGCGACCUAGACGGGAAGGAAAUCCAGAGAAGGGAUGCCUGUAUAUGUGCAGCUGAGUCACUUUGCUGUACAGCAGAAACUUAACUCAACAUUGUAGUGUGACUACACGC